rnacentral:rRNA from 1 species
GUAGGGGGCAAGCGUUAUCCGGAUUUACUGGGUGUAAAGGGAGCGUAGACGGCCGUGCAAGUCUGAUGUGAAAGGCUGGGGCUCAACCCCGGGACUGCAUUGGAAACUGUAUGGCUGGAGUGCCGGAGAGGUAAGCGGAGUUCCUAGUGUAGCGGUGAAAUGCGUAGAUAUUAGGAGGAACACCAGUGGCGAAGGCGGCUUACUGGACGGUAACUGACGUUGAGGCUCGAAAGCGUGGGGAGCAAACAGGAUUAGAUACCCUGGUAGUCCACGCCGUAAACGAUGAUUACUAGGUGUUGGGGGACAUGGUCCUUCGGUGCCGCCGCAAACGCAGUAAGUAACCCACCUGGGGAGU